rnacentral:rRNA from 1 species
GAUGAACGCUGGCGGCGUGCCUAAUACAUGCAAGUCGAGCGAACAGACGAGGAGCUUGCUCCUCUGACGUUAGCGGCGGACGUGUGAGUAACACGUGGAUAACCUACCUAUAAGACUGGGAUAACUUCGGGAAACCGGAGCUAAUACCGGAUAAUCUAUUGAACCGCAUGGUUCAAUAGUGAAAUACGGUUUUGCUGUCACUUAUAGAUGGAUCCGCGCCGCAUUAGCUAGUUGGUAAGGUAACGGCUUACCAAGGCAACGAUGCGUAGCCGACCUGAGAGGGUGAUCGGCCACACUGGAAGUGAGACACGGUCCAGACUCCUACGGGAGGGAGCAGUAGGGAAUCUGACGCAAUGGGCGAAAGCUUGACGGAGCAACGCCGAGUGAGUGAUGAAGGUGUUCGGAUCGUAAAACUCUGUUAUUAGGGAAGAACAAAUGUGUAAGUAACUAUGCACGUCUUGACGGUACCGAAUCAGAAAGCCACGGCUAACUACGUG